AUUUAAAGCAGCUCCACCAAGCCAGGGCAGGUCCUUAAAUCAAAGCUGAGGCUUCGGGUUCCUUUUGUUAAAGAAAUGCCCUUACUUGAUGGAACACCAAAACCUCAUUAAAUUGCAAACACGGGACUAUAAAAGAUGGAGAAUGAGCAAUUCCACUUAAACGCGGCAGCUCUCCACACGUUGCCCCAGAAGGACAAUGAGUUCUAAAGUUCAGGGUUACACAUGGCUUGAAGAAGAAACUGAGGCCUUAAGAGAGGAGGGGAUUUGUUCAAGGCUUUGCAGUCAGUAGGUGGUAACACUUACUCAGGUGGUGCCUCUCCUUUAUGAAGAUGCUCAUCAGCCUCUGUUCAACCUGCGAUGGGCUUUUUUUUUUUUUUAACUGAAGCUCCAGAGUAUUCUCUGGAGGCAUGCCUGAACUUACAGGUCCUUAUUUUUGGCCUUAAGGCAAGCCUAGUUCUAAAAUACAGCUUUUCCCAGAGAGAACAACAUGGAAGGGUGAGGUAGUGCUUGCUCUGUUUAAUAACCCUCACCCCCUAUUAUUCUCUCUUAUAAAAUGCAGUUACUUGUCUUCAUUAUAUUUAUCACAGUUGUUAAUUAUAUACAGUUUAUUUGUGGUUUAUUGAUUAUAAUGCUUGUCUCUGCUAUUACAUUGCCAUUUUAUUAACC
ensembl:lncRNA